UCUGUGUGAUAGCUACAGCUCUCCAACAACAUGCCAGAGCAACGGGAAGGUCUUUGACUGCUGGGCCUCUUCUUGCCUGUUGCUGUCACUCGCCCCUCCUAUACAUUUUCAGAAAUUUGGGAUGUUUCUUGGUGGUUCCUGGGUCGGGGAUGUGUACUUGUGGGGCUGAUGCUAAGGUUGUUGUGGUGUUUUCCAGGGUUGUUGGUGUUCCAGAGCUCGCUCCGCCGAUGGCCGGAUAGUCCCAAGGAAUUAACUCAUUUAGUGGAAAAGGCCGAGAGCAUGUGAGCCCCUGUCCCUGGUGAAGGGGUUCGGUUGUGUCCCUGGGGCUGGAGAGGUGACACGGGGCAGGUGUAAGUGGAGCCGUUUCCCCGAGGGUUUGGUGCAAGAGCUUGUUCUUUCCCAGCCUGGCUCCUUCCCGGGCCUGGAGCUCCCCCACCUGGGAACAGCAGCUCCAGGUGUUGCUCAGGCUCCUGUUGAACCUGAAGAGUGGACCCUUCUGUGGGCUUUUCUCUGGAGAAGAGCUUGGAUAUAAAGUAUUUUGAGGGUGAAUAAAUGGAAUUGCUUGAAACUCUUGCUGUGGUCG
rnacentral:lncRNA from 1 species